rnacentral:rRNA from 1 species
GGCUACACACGCGCUACAAUGGGUAGUACAGAGAGUCGCAAAGCCGUGAGGUGGAGCUAAUCUCAGAAAACUAUUCUUAGUUCGGAUUGUACUCUGCAACUCGAGUACAUGAAGUUGGAAUCGCUAGUAAUCGCGAAUCAGCAAUGUCGCGGUGAAUACGUUCUCGGGUCUUGUACACACCGCCCGUCACACCACGAGAGUUGGUUGCACCUGAAGUAGCAGGCCUAACCGCAAGGAGGGAUGCUCCGAGGGUGUGAUUAGCGAUUGGGGUGAAGUCGUAACAAGGUAUCCGUACGGGAACGU